UGUGUGUGUGUGCACGGGUGCGCUCUUAUCUAACCUUCCUCGUUCCCCAGGGUGUGUGCCUGCCUUCUGGCCUCUGCCGUGGCCUUCCCGCAGCCUGACCCUCUGCCAUCUUACCUAAACACUCUCUUAUUCUGAUGAUCCCUAUAAUGGAGUACACGGUGUUCAUAAGACAACUCAUUCUGUGAAUCUGUUCAUCGUGUUUACCAAAUGUUUGCCUCCUUUUUAAGCAGGAAGGAUGCGUGAGAUGCCAAGUCGUUCACUUUGACUAAUUCCUGUGUUGUCUCCCCAAACAGCCAACAGAUGCCUUUGCUAUACUUUCCCGUGUAACUGUGGAUGGGGCCGCACACCUCUUCGGUAAUGAGGAAAACGCCUGACCUCUGGAGCCUCUACAUGACCUGACCUGAACUCACCUGUUCUGAACCAACAAGCCUCAGGAUGAAAAAUAAAACAAAAUAGAGACUCUUCCUUCUCACUUCUCACUUGCAUUCACGCCUAAUAAAGCCUGCAAUAUCUGUUCAUGCUUGAUAUUAGUUUGGUGUUCCUUUGCCUCGCUGCACGCUGGCUGUCUGGUGGAGGCACAAGAAAGGCUUGCAAGCGUCAUUUAGAAAAGUUAACCUUACAUCUGACACACUUCUGUUCUUACAAUAAGCAAAUCGCAUCGAAUCACUAAGACUUUCCAAUCUUUUCACAUAAACAACAUUUGCGUUAGAUGUGAGAGCAAUUCAUUAAAAUGUUUUGGAAAUGCAAUUUUGGCAACGCGUUUGAUAUGGGAAAGUUUCCAUAGGUGAGACACUGCAUCCCCUGGCUGAUGGAGUCCCGGAACAGCCGCUUCCGCUCCGACGCCCAGUGGCUUUCCCACACGCAUUGACAUAGGCAGGAGUGUCCGUGUCGCCUGGUGCACUUGUUGGCAGUACAGUAGUGUGUUUCCCGCAAUGGUGACAAAAAAGGGAAGGAAUGGCCGAGUUAAGAUGGCUAUUUACCUCGCCGCGGCAGGUGCACCAUAGUGAGGGAAGGCCAGAGGAACAUAACAUGGCCUGGUGGGAAGCCCUCGCCAGGUGUCCACAACCCGGCAGCACCUGGCACUCUGUUCCGCCGGGUAUAUGAGGAGGCAAGCCCCAACCAGUGCCACACUUCGACAUGGAGCGACGCACCCUGCUGAUUGUCCUGCUAGUGUGCAGCUUCCUGCUGCUUGGUGUCACCGCCGAGGCCUCGCCUUGGGGUAGUCGCCGCUUCGUGAGACCGCCGUUUGGGGGCAGACCACCAUUUGGCGGAUCAGGCUGUGUGUGUGUCACGACACCAUGUAAAUGUCCCUACUACGGCUAACCCGGCCAGCGAACACGGAAUCUGACAGUGCUCGCUCGUGGCCACACGACACUCGCCAUGGAUGGAAAGCGCCGACUCUUGAUUCUUUGGAUGAAUUAAAAUUUAGUUUUGCACUUAGUGGUAAAUAAAGUAUUAGCAAUC